UUACGGUCAUAUAGCGAUGAAAUACCGGUUCUCGUACGAUCAUCAAAGUUAAGCAAGGUCGGGCCAUGUCAGCACCUACAUGGGUGACCAAUGGGGAAACCAGAUGCU